rnacentral:rRNA from 1 species
UACGGAGGGUGCAAGCGUUGUUCGGAAUCACUGGGCGUAAAGGGCGCGUAGGCGGCUAGGGAAGUCCGGUGUGAAAGCCCGGGGCUCAACCCCGGAAGUGCAUUGGAAACUCCCUGGCUUGAGUUCGGAAGAGGAGGGCAGAAUUCCCGGUGUAGGGGUGAAAUCCGUAGAUAUCGGGAGGAAAACCAGUGGCGAAGGCGGCCCUCUGGGACAGAACUGACGCUGAGGCGCGAAAGCGUGGGGAG